GAUGAACGCUGACAGAAUGCUUAACACAUGCAAGUCAUUGGCGAAGCCGCGCUUGCGCAGUCUAGCCAAGGCGGACGGGUGAGUAACGCGUAAGGAACUUGCCCUGCAGACAGGGAUAACAGACGGAAACGACUGAUAACACCUGGUAUUGUCAGGCUGGCGCAUGCCGGCCUGAUGAAAGGAGACGCUGCAGGAGAGCCUUGCGUCCUAUUAGCUAGUUGGUGGGGUAACGGCCCACCAAGGCGAUGAUAGGUAGCCGGCCUGAGAGGGUGAACGGCCACAAGGGGACUGAGAUACGGCCCUUACUCCUACGGGAGGCAGCAGUGGGGAAUAUUGGACAAUGGGGGCAACCCUGAUCCAGCAAUUCUGUGUGCACGAAGAAGGUUUUCGGAUUGUAAAGUGCUUUCAGCAGGGAAGAAGAAAGUGACGGUACCUGCAGAAGAAGCGACGGCUAAAUACGUG
rnacentral:rRNA from 1 species